CGGGGAAUUUCUCUCUCCUCCUCUCCCUCUCUCUCCUCGCCACCCUCUCCUCCGCCGCCCUCAUCCCCGACGACCUUCGCCUCCCGUCCACCGCCACCUUCCCCUCCUCUCAAGCCGAGCACCUCAUCCGCGCCCUCAACCUCCUUCCCCUCGACGCAUCCCCCGCCCACCCCGGCCCUGAUGUCUCUCCGGGGACCCUGGUGGAGCGCCGAUUCGCCCUCCCCGGUCUUGACGGAGUCUCCAUCGACGAUCUCGGCCACCACGCGGGCUACUACCGCCUCCCCCACACCCACGAUGCCAGCAUGUUCUACUUGUUCUUUGAAUCGAGGAGUAAUAGUAGUGAUCCCGUUGUGAUUUGGUUGACUGGAGGGCCGGGGUGCAGCAGCGAGCUGGCCGUGUUUUAUGAGAACGGUCCGUUUAAGAUUGCGGACAAUUUGUCGCUGGUGUGGAAUGAAUUUGGAUGGGAUAAGGCUUCAAAUUUAAUAUAUGUUGAUCAGCCAACUGGAACUGGUUUUAGCUAUAGCUCGGAUAGGCGUGACAUGCGACACGAUGAAAAUGGUAUUAGUGAUGACCUGUAUGAUUUUCUGCAGGUAUUUUUUACCAAACACCCACAAUUUGCG
rnacentral:misc_RNA from 1 species